rnacentral:lncRNA from 1 species
UGUACCAUUUCUGUCAUUGACAUUCUUGAAACAUGCCAGUUCCGUCCAAAAAACUAACGUCUGUUAAAACCUGUUGUUUUAACAGACGUUAGUUUUUUGGACGAAACUGGCAUGGUUCAAAAAUGUCGAGGACGGAAAUGGUACAAAUUCAAAAUUUGGCCUGAACUGGCAUAAAUGGACAAACCACAAGGACCAAAAUGGCAGGUAACUCUUUAAUUUUUUUAUCCAAUACCAAAACCUUCUAUAAUGUUGGUACUGACUACUAAAACUACCCUGCUUCUUGUAUUAAUAACUGAAACUGAAAACUUUAGAAAAAGGUUAGUUUAGUGGUAAUUACUUAAUACCAAUCAGGCCCACGCCAUAAUCUUUACUUUAAUACCUACCUAAUCUUGGCCACUAAAUGGUAAGAUGACUGCAGCACAUGUUGGGAUUUCAGGAUGCUGGGAAACAUUUAUUUAAUCCCCAAAAGCAACCAAUAAUUAUGGAAAACUGAAAGUAACACCACAUAAAGAAACCUCUAUCCCAUUCUGGCAGGUUAAUUAAUGAUAUAUUAAGGUGGAAAAGGUAACAGAAAAGUGAUAAAACUUCAAUUCAUAAAUCACAAAUAUGCUUGUUUGUAAUAAUAUCCACAGCAGCUUCAAUCAUUGCAAGGAAACUUCUGACUCAAACAGGUAAUGUCCUUAAGACCAAACAUAACUCUGGGCUGCACAUUGGUAUUUUUUUUAAAUCCUACUUCACCGGGAAUUAGAUGCAUAGACAAAGGGGUGAAAUUGCAUCUGUCAUGAUGUGCAUAAAGUUUAUUUGUUAUCGUUGAAGAUCCUAACCAAACUUUAUGAAAAAAUGUUCUUUAAUAUUUCACAUAUCUUUUAAACCAAAUCAUUCAAUUUGAACAAAGGAAUGAUAUUCUUCGAAAGGAGCAUAUGCAAAGAGUAAACACAUCCAAGAAACCAAUAAGGCAAUAAUAUUUGACUUCAUUAUGUAACAAGAAGAUGACUUACAAAAACCAUCCAAUAC